rnacentral:rRNA from 1 species
CGUAGGGUCCGAGCGUUGUCCGGAAUUAUUGGGCGUAAAGGGCUUGUAGGCGGUCCGUCGCGUCAGAAGUGAAAACUCAGGGCUUAACCCUGAGCCUGCUUUUGAUACGGGCGGACUAGAGGGAUGCAGGGGAGAACGGAAUUCCUGGUGGAGCGGUGGAAUGCGCAGAUAUCAGGAGGAACACCGGUGGCGAAGGCGGUUCUCUGGGCAUUACCUGACGCUGAGAAGCGAAAGCGUGGGGAGCAAACAGGCUU